UUUCGAUGAUACGCGAGGAACCUUACCCGGGCUUGAAAUGCAUCUGACCGGCCUUGAAAGAGGCACUCCCUUCGGGGCAGAUGUGUAGGUGCUGCAUGGUUGUCGUCAGCUCGUGCCGUGAGGUGUCGGCUUAAGUGCCAUAACGAGCGCAACCUCCAUCAUUAGUUACCAUCAGGUAAGGCUGGGGGACUCUAAUGAGACUGCCAUCGUAAGAUGUGAGGAAGGUGGGGAUGACGUCAAAUCAGCACGGCCCUUACGUCCGGGGCGACACGCGUGUUACAAUGGGUGGUACAAAGGGCAGCUACCUGGCGACAGGAUGCUAAUCUCGAAAACCGCUCUCAGUUCGGAUCGGAGUCUGCAACUCGACUCCGUGAAGCUGGAUUCGCUAGUAAUCGCGCAUCAGCCACGGCGCGGUGAAUACGUUCCCGGGCCUU
rnacentral:rRNA from 1 species